rnacentral:rRNA from 1 species
AUACGUAGGUGGCAAGCGUUGUCCGGAUUUAUUGGGCGUAAAGCGAGCGCAGGCGGUUUCUUAAGUCUGAUGUGAAAGCCCCCGGCUCAACCGGGGAGGGUCAUUGGAAACUGGGAAACUUGAGUGCAGAAGAGGAGAGUGGAAUUCCAUGUGUAGCGGUGAAAUGCGUAGAUAUAUGGAGGAACACCAGUGGCGAAGGCGGCUCUCUGGUCUGUAACUGACGCUGAGGCUCGAAAGCGUGGGGAGCAAACAGGAUUAGAUACCCUGGUAGUCCACGCCGUAAACGAUGAGUGCUAAGUGUUGGAGGGUUUCCGCCCUUCAGUGCUGCAGCUAACGCAUUAAGUACUCCGCCUGGGAAGUACGGUCGCAAGACUAAA